rnacentral:rRNA from 1 species
AUGCCCUACGGGGGGCAGCAGUGGGGAGUAUUGCACAAUGGGGGAAACGCUGAUGCAGCGACGCCGCGUGAGCGAAGAAGUAUUUCGGUAUGUAAAGCUCUAUCAGCAGGGAAGAAGAUGACGGUACCUGAGUAAGAAGCCCCGGCUAACUACGUGCCAGCAGCCGCGGUAAUACGUAGGGGGCAAGCGUUAUCCGGAUUUACUGGGUGUAAAGGGAGCGCAGGCGGCGUGGCAAGUCAGAUGUGAAAACCCGGGGCCCAACCCCGGGAGUGCAUUUGAAACUGCCAUGCUGGAGUGCCGGAGAG